rnacentral:rRNA from 1 species
GACGAACGCUGGCGGCGUGCCUAAUACAUGCAAGUAGGACGCAGUUGCGAACGGGUGAGUAACGCGUAGGUAACUGCCUGUUAGAGGGGGAUAACUAUUGGAGACGAUAGCUAAUACCGCAUACUAGUAGAUGGACCUGCUUUGUAUUAGCUAGUAGGUAGGGUAAUGGCCUACCUAGGCAACGAUACAUAGUCGAGCUGAGGGGGGGGUCCACCAAAAUGGGACCUAGGCACCGCCCCGACUUCUUCGGGAGGCAGGCGUAGGGGAUCAUCGGCAAUGGGGGGAACCCUGACCGAGCCAAGCCGCGGUAUUUAAGAAGGUUUUCGGAGUGUAAAGCUCUGUUGAUAAGGAAGCGGUACUUAACCAGAAAGCGACGGCUAACUACGUGCCAGCAGCCGCGGUAAUUC